AAUCAACGCUGGCGGCGUGCCUAACACAUGCAAGUCGAACGCGAAAGUGGAGCAAUCCAUGAGUAGAGUGGCAAACGGGUGAGUAACACGUGGGCGAACCUGCCUUGAGUGGGGGAUAACUUCCCGAAAGGGGAGCUAAUACCGCAUGACAUACCGUGUUUCGAUACACGGAUAUCAAAGCUGGGGAUCGUAAGACCUGGCGCUUGAAGAGGGGCCCGCGUCCGAUUAGCUAGUUGGUGGGGUAAUGGCUCACCAAGGCUCCGAUCGGUAUCCGGCCUGAGAGGGCGGACGGACACACUGGAACUGAGACACGGUCCAGACUCCUACGGGAGCAGCAGUGGGGAAUUGUUCGCAAUGGGCGCAAGCCUGACGACGCAACGCCGCG
rnacentral:rRNA from 1 species